GCGGUCUUUCAAAACCAAGGUUGGGACGGUCUACCACUUCCUCUAAAAUA
rnacentral:rRNA from 1 species